CCUGGCGGCACUAGCGCGGUGGUCCCACCUGACCCCAUGCCGAACUCAGAAGUGAAACGCCGUAGCGCCGAUGGUAGUGUGGGGUA
rnacentral:rRNA from 1 species